rnacentral:rRNA from 1 species
UACGGGGGGGGCAAGCGUUGUUCGGAAUUACUGGGCGUAAAGGGCUCGUAGGUGGCCAACUAAGUCAGACGUGAAAUCCCUCAGCUUAACUGGGGAACUGCGUCUGAUACUGGAUGGCUUGAGUUUGGGAGAGGGAUGCGGAAUUCCAGGUGUAGCGGUGAAAUGCGUAGAUAUCUGGAGGAACACCGGUGGCGAAGGCGGCAUCCUGGACCAACACUGACGCUGAGGAGCGAAAGCUAGGGGAGCAAACGGG